UAAUACGUAGGAGGCGAGCGUUAUCCGGAUUUACUGGGCGUAAAGAGGGCGUAGGCGGCUUUUCAAGUCGGAUGUAAAAUCUCCCGGCUUAACUGGGAGGGAUCGUUCGAUACUGAUGGGCUAGAGUGCAGCAGAGGGAGGUGGAAUUCCCGGUGUAGUGGUGAAAUGCGUAGAUAUCGGGAGGAACACCAGUGGCGAAGGCGGCCUCCUGGGCUGUUACUGACGCUGAGGCCCGAAGGCGUGGGGAGCGAACAGGAUUAGAUACCCUGGUAGUCCACGCAGUAAACGAUGGAUACUAGGUAUGGGGGGUAUCGACCCCCUCCGUGCCGAAGCUAACGCUUUAAGUAUCCCGCCUGGGGAGUACGGUCGCAAGACUA
rnacentral:rRNA from 1 species